rnacentral:rRNA from 1 species
CGGACGGGUGAGGAACACAUCGGAAUCUACCCUGUCGUGGGGGACAACGUAGGGAAACUUACGCUAAUACCGCAUACGACCUUUGGGUGAAAGCGGGGGACCAGCAAUGGCCUCGCGCGAUUGGAUGAGCCGAUGUCCGAUUAGCUAGUUGGCGGGGUAAUGGCCCACCAAGGCGACGAUCGGUAGCUGGUCUGAGAGGACGACCAGCCACACUGGAACUGAGACACGGCCCAG